rnacentral:rRNA from 1 species
AAAGCGUGCGCAGGCGGUUUUGUAAGUCUGUCGUGAAAGCCCCGGGCUUAACCUGGGAAUUGCGAUGGAGACUGCAAGGCUUGAAUCUGGCAGAGGGGGGUAGAAUUCCACGUGUAGCAGUGAAAUGCGUAGAGAUGUGGAGGAACACCAAUGGCGAAGGCAGCCCCCUGGGUCAAGAUUGACGCUCAUGCACGAAAGCGUGGGGAGCAAACAGGAUUAGAUACCCGAGU